rnacentral:rRNA from 1 species
AGGGAUAACGGCUGGAAACGGCCGCUAAUACCCCAUAUGCCGCGAGGUGAAAUGAGAAAUCGCCUGAGGAUGAGCUCGCGUCUGAUUAGCUAGUUGGUGGGGUAAGAGCCUACCAAGGCAUCGAUCAGUAGCUGGUCUGAGAGGAUGAUCAGCCACACUGGGACUGAGACACGGCCCAGACUCCUACGGGAGGCAGCAGUGGGGAAUUUUCCGCAAUGGGCGCAAGCCUGACGGAGCAACGCCGCGUGAGGGAUGAAGGCCUCUGGGCUGUAAACCUCUUUUCUCAAGGAAGAAGAACUGACGGUACUUGAGGAAUAAGCCACGGCUAAUUCCGUGCCAGCAGCCGCGGUAAUACGGGAGUGGCAAGCGUUAUCCGGAAUUAUUGGGCGUAAAGCGUCCGCAGGCGGUCUUGAAAGUCUGUUGUUAAAGCGUGGAGCUCAACUCCAUUUCAGCAAUGGAAACUAGAAGACUAGAGUGUGGUAGGGGCAGAGGGAAUUCCCGGUGUAGCGGUGAAAUGCGUAGAUAUCGGGAAGAACACCAGUGGCGAAGGCGCUCUGCUGGGCCAUAACUGACGCUCAUGGACGAAAGCCAGGGGAGCGAAAGGGAUUAGAUACCCCUGUAGUCCUGUCCGUAAACGAUGAACACUAGGUGUCGGGGGAAUCGACCCCCUCGGUGUCGUAGCCAACGCGUUAAGUGUUCCGCCUGGGGAGUACGCACGCAAGUGUGAAACUCAAAGGAAUUGACGGGGGCCCGCACAAGCGGUGGAGUAUGUGGUUUAAUUCGAUGCAACGCGAAGAACCUUACCAGGGUUUGACAUCCUGCGAAUCUUUUGGAAACAGAAGAGUGCCUUCGGGAGCGCAGAGACAGGUGGUGCAUGGCUGUCGUCAGCUCGUGUCGUGAGAUGUUGGGUUAAGUCCCGCAACGAGCGCAACCCACGUCUUUAGUUGCCAGCAUUGAGUUGGGCACUCUAGAGAGACCGCCGGUGAUAAACCGGAGGAAGGUGUGGAUGACGUCAAGUCAUCAUGCCCCUUACAUCCUGGGCUACACACGUACUACAAUGCUACGGACAGAGGGCAGCAAACUCGCGAGAGCUAGCAAAUCCCAUAAACCGUGGCUCAGUUCAGAUCGUAGGCUGCAACUCGCCUACGUGAAGGAGGAAUCGCUAGUAAUCGCAGGUCAGCAUACUGCGGUGAAUACGUUCCCGGGCCUUGUACACACCGCCCGUCACACCAUGGAAGUUGGCCAUGCCCGAAGUCGUUACUCCAACCC